rnacentral:rRNA from 1 species
CGCUUUAUGGUGUAGUAUAAAGUAUUGCCUGCCCUAUGAUUUUAUUUAAAUGGCCGCGGUAUACUGACCGUGCAAAGGUAGCAUAAUCAUUAGUCUUUUAAUUGGAGGCUGGAAUGAAAGGUGGGACGAAGUAAAGAGUGUCUUACUUUAAUAAUAUUGAAGUUAAUUAUUAAGUAAAAAAGCUUAAAUAAUUUUAUGGGACGAGAAGACCCUAUAGAGUUUUAUAAUUUUAUAUAUUUAUUUGGUUAGGUUACUGUUUAGAUUUGUAAAAUUAUUUUGUUGGGGCGACAGGAAGAUAAAAUGAACUCUUCUUUUCUUUUUACGUGAAUUUGUGAUUAAUUGACCCAAUAUUUUUGAUUAAAAGACUAAAUUACC